UACGAAGGGUGCAAGCGUUACUCGGAAUCACUGGGCGUAAAGCGUGCGUAGGCGGUUGAUUAAGUCUGCUGUGAAAGCCCUGGGCUCAACCUGGGAACUGCAGUGGAUACUGGUCAGCUAGAGUGUGAUAGAGGAUGGUGGAAUUCCCGGUGUAGCGGUGAAAUGCGUUGAGAUCGGGAGGAACACCAGUGGCGAAGGCGGCCAUCUGGAUCAACACUGACGCUGAGGCACGAAAGCGUGGGGAGCAAACAGG
rnacentral:rRNA from 1 species